rnacentral:rRNA from 1 species
UACGGGGGGGGCAAGCGUUGUUCGGAAUUACUGGGCGUAAAGGGCUCGUAGGCGGCCAACUAAGUCAGACGUGAAAUCCCUCGGCUUAACCGGGGAACUGCGUCUGAUACUGGAUGGCUUGAGUUUGGGAGAGGGAUGCGGAAUUCCAGGUGUAGCGGUGAAAUACGUAGAUAUCUGGAGGAACACCGGUGGCGAAGGCGGCAUCCUGGACCAACACUGACGCUGAGUGAGCGAAAGCCAGGGGAGCAAACGGG